rnacentral:rRNA from 1 species
CACCGGCGGCCCGAGUGGUGGCCACUAUUAUUGGGUCUAAAGCGUCCGUAGCCGGCUUGGCAAGUCCCCUGGGAAAUCUGGCGGCUUAACCGUCAGGCGUCCAGAGGAUACUGCCAGGCUUGGGACCGGGAGAGGUGAGAGGUACCUCAGGGGUAGGGGUGAAAUCUUGUGAUCCCUGAGGGACUACCAGUGGCGAAGGCGUCUCACUAGAACGGGUCCGACGGUCAGGGACGAAAGCUGGGGGCACGAACCGG